AAGAAUUCUUCAAAGAGAACAAACACAACAUUGUCUGAAUUCACCACUGCUGAAGGCACAGACUUGGAGAAGUAGCGAUGAUCUGCAAUGGCACUGACGGCAGGUCAACUGGAACUGCAAAAUCUCUCAAGAUGGAAGCCAGCAUUUCCUCUACGAGCCCUGCUAUACACCCUGUGGCUGCCUGACUGUGGCUCUGGCUGUGAAGUCUGAGAAGAAGGAAAACAUUCUACUCAUUUCCCCCCCCCAAAA